CACGUAGGGUGCGAGCGUUGUCCGGAAUUAUUGGGCGUAAAGAGCUCGUAGGCGGUGUGUCGCGUCGGCCGUGAAAACCUGCAGCUUAACUGUGGGCUUGCGGUCGAUACGGGCAUCACUGGAGUUCGGCAGGGGAGACUGGAAUUCCUGGUGUAGCGGUGAAAUGCGCAGAUAUCAGGAGGAACACCGGUGGCGAAGGCGGGUCUCUGGGCCGUAACUGACGCUGAGGAGCGAAAGCAUGGGGAGCAAACAGG
rnacentral:rRNA from 1 species